rnacentral:rRNA from 1 species
AGUGGCGAACGGGUGAGUAAUACAUCGGAACGUGCCCGAGAGUGGGGGAUAACGAAGCGAAAGCUUUGCUAAUACCGCAUACGAUCUCAGGAUGAAAGCAGGGGACCGCAAGGCCUUGCGCUCACGGAGCGGCCGAUGGCAGAUUAGGUAGUUGGUGGGAUAAAAGCUUACCAAGCCGACGAUCUGUAGCUGGUCUGAGAGGACGACCAGCCACACUGGGACUGAGACACGGCCCAGACUCCUACGGGAGGCAGCAGUGGGGAAUUUUGGACAAUGGGCGCAAGCCUGAUCCAGCCAUGCCGCGUGCAGGAUGAAGGCCUUCGGGUUGUAAACUGCUUUUGUACGGAACGAAAAGACUCUGGUUAAUACCUGGGGUCCAUGACGGUACCGUAAGAAUAAGCACCGGCUAACUACGUGCCAGCAGCCGCGGUAAUACGAAGGGUGCGAGCGUUAAUCGGAAUUACUGGGCGUAAAGCGUGCGCAGGCGGUUAUAUAAGACAGAUGUGAAAUCCCCGGGCUCAACCUGGGAACUGCAUUUGUGACUGUAUAGCUAGAGUACGGCAGAGGGGGAUGGAAUUCCGCGUGUAGCAGUGAAAUGCGUAGAUAUGCGGAGGAACACCGAUGGCGAAGGCAAUCCCCUGGCCCUGUACUGACGCUCAUGCACGAAAGCGUGGGGAGCAAACAGUAUUAGAUACCCUGG